AUAGGCCUAACAGUUAAUAUACUUCCUGUAAUAUUCAGAUACAUGAAUAUAAGACAGGUGGGCCAUAUAGAAGUUACCCAUUUAUUAGACUGACAUGCGUAACCUCACAGUAGAAAGGCUGGUGUAGUGUACACGUAUUUUACGACAACUUCUGUGUGAUUUUGAAUAAUUUUAAUUCUUCAUGGUGGUAACAUCAGGUGACGUGUAUAGACCAAGUAACAGUUAACCAAAUACUGUAUUAUAUGUAAUAAUAAUACACUAGAAGGGUGAUGUUAGCUAAUAAAAUAAUGAUAAAGACAUUGGUUUGUUGUGUUUGUUUCUUUCCAUAUUUUGUACUAACUGAAACUAAAAUUAGUACAGUGUGUUAUGGUAUACCAGGUAUAGGAGGUUGUAUUGACCAUAAACUCAUCUGUACAGAACCAUCUAUUAUAUCAAUAACUAAUAUAACGUUUGGAUAUAGGCAAGGGUGUAGAGUUAGUGGUGUAGCUAGCUGUAUUGAUACAGAGUGUUGUAGAGAAGAGACUGGAGAUUGUUUUACACCUUACAACCAAACUCUUCUAUCAGUAUUACAACAAACCUGUGAUGGGAGGUCUAGUUGUAUUCUUAAUAGAAAUAAUGGCUUGGAUAAAGUAUCUUCAUAUUGUUUUAAUGGUAUUCCUAUAUAUCAUUCGUAC